UACGUAGGGUGCAAGCGUUAAUCGGAAUUACUGGGCGUAAAGCGUGCGUAGACGGUCAUGUAAGUCGGGUGUGAAAGCCCCGGGCUCAACCUGGGAAUUGCAUUCGAGACUGCAUGGCUAGGAUGCGGAAGAGGGAAGCGGAAUUUCCGGUGUAGCGGUGAAAUGCGUAGAUAUCGGGAGGAACACCGGUGGCGAAGGCGGUUCUCUGGGCAUGAUCUGACACUGAGGAGCGAAAGUGUGGGGAGCGAACAGG
rnacentral:rRNA from 1 species